UACGGAGGGGGCUAGCGUUGUCCGGAUUUAUUGGGCGUAAAGAGCGUGUAGGCGGCCAGGUAGGUCGGUUGUGAAAACUCGAGGCUCAACCUCGAGACGUCGGCGGAAACCAUCUGGCUAGAGUCCGGAAGAGGAGAGUGGAAUUCCUGGUGUAGCGGUGAAAUGCGCAGAUAUCAGGAAGAACACCCGUGGCGAAGGCGGCUCUCUGGGACGGUACUGACGCUGAGACGCGAAAGCGUGGGGAGCGAACAGG
rnacentral:rRNA from 1 species